UGCAGCAGUUGUGUGUGAGCUCGUUUGGUCUUGCACAGUUCCAAACCCACAAAUUGGUGAUCAGCGCUGUGACUGCUUCUCUGGUGCUCCCAGUCUGAUGCCUGCUGCUCCGGGCGAUUUCUCUCCAAAAAACUGUUUGCAAGGAUGACUCAUGGCAGAAGUGGGCCUGUUGCUGCUUGUCACUUCCUUCUGGCAAAAGCCAUUGGUGUUCAGCUUGUUUGCACAUCUGCUUGUUGGGCUAGAGUGAUUUAUUUAAAACUUUGUGCAUUCGUGUGCAGCAAAGCUUGAGAAGUCCAGUUCCCUUCCGUGUGGAGCACGUGGUUCCUUUCUGCUUUCUUAAUGAACAAUUAAGAGACCCUAGGGAUGAGACGCAGCCUGAUGAUGGGAGCAGUUACACCGUUGUGUAUUCGGUUAAUACCUUCUGACUUCACUCUUCCAAAAGUUCAGACAAAGCGAGCUUGGCGUAGCAGCAGGGAGAGUUGGGAAGGUGGAGGAAACAUCACUGAUUUCUCCUGCACUGGAAAGCUAAUGCCUGUGUUACUGUUUAUGAAAAGCUUAUUGUCUUCUUGGAAAGAAAGGGAAGUUUUAAAAUGCUUUCUUAAGCAAAUGAUCUCUUGCACCCUUAAAAAAUUUUCUCACCCAGUGACCCAGAUCUGUGAUCCUUUAAAGCUCUAGAAAACCAAUCAUAUUAAAAACCUUUUCUUUUUUUAAUUAGAAGAUUGCUAACUAUUUCCUGUAUCAUUAAGCCAAUGCCAAACCUCUUCACCAUUAAGGCUAUAUCCACUCUGUAUGGCCAGGCUGUGGUAUUUGGGAGAGUUUCCAGAAAAACAAAUGGACAAACCUGGACGAGCUCUUCUCCGGCUUGGUUUCUCCUUUGCAGGUUAUCUGACUUAAUCAAUUUUCCUAUCCAGCCCCAAGAUGAAGAACAGUGACAUGAAACUGCAUCUGAGGCUGCAGUGCAGUGGCCCAAGCUGCCUCUGUUGUGUCAUUUCCUCCUCUUCUCCUGGUUGUCAGGAUUUGCAGUAGGUAAGCUGGUAGGAUGCAAAGUUCAGCUCUUGUGCUGGAUGGACACACUGGGUUUGUCUAACACAGCAUGUGGCUGUAUUACAGUGUUUCCAAAGGAGGUGACUCAGAAGCCGUACCUCCAUUUAGCAGCGCAUCAUGACAUGGAAGUGAACCAAAGCACUUAAGAACAUGAAGAAGAAGUGUAUAGCAAAGGAGGGAGGAUGGGGCUUAGGAUUGGAAAAUAAUUUGGGUCAGAAGAGCUGUCUGGAGGCCUCUAGUCCAGCCUUUGCUUGAUACCAGGCCGCCUGUGAAGCUGUAUCAUACCAAUGCCACUACGUUCUGCCUGCUAAUUGAAGUUGGGUGGGAUGGCUCUUCUGGUAGAUUACAAUGCUGAUUUUGAAGACCUGCUUAGAUAGGCCUGUGACCUCCAGGAUCAUUCUGAUUACAAAUGUGUCCACCACAAAGCUGCAGAAAGCUUGUGAUGAGGAAGGGAAAAAUGUUCUUGCAUGUCAAUGUCCUUCCAGGAAAAAAAAUGGAA
rnacentral:lncRNA from 1 species